CCUACGGGAGGCAGCAGUGGGGAAUAUUGGGCAAUGGGCGCAAGCCUGACCCAGCAACGCCGCGUGAAGGAAGAAGGCUUUCGGGUUGUAAACUUCUUUUCUCAGGGACGAAGCAAGUGACGGUACCUGAGGAAUAAGCCACGGCUAACUACGUGCCAGCAGCCGCGGUAAUACGUAGGUGGCAAGCGUUAUCCGGAUUGACUGGGUGUAAAGGGCGUGUAGGCGGGGACGUAAGUCAGGUGUGAAAGCCACGGGCUCAACCUGUGGCCUGCAUUGGAAACUGUGUAUCUUGAGUGCAGGAGAGGCAGGCGGAAUUCCUAGUGUAGCGGUGAAAUGCGUAGAUAUUAGGAGGAACACCAGUGGCGAAGGCGGUCUGCUGGACAGCAACUGACGCUGAGGCGCGAAAGCGUGGGGAGCAAACAGGAUUAGAUACCCGGGUAGUC
rnacentral:rRNA from 1 species